GACGAACGCUGGCGGCGUGCCUAAUACAUGCAAGUUGAGCGCUGAAGGUUGGUACUUGUACCGACUGGAUGAGCAGCGAACGGGUGAGUAACGCGUGGGGAAUCUGCCUUUGAGCGGGAGACAACAUUUGGAAACGAAUGCUAAUACCGCAUAAAAACUUUAAACACAAGUUUUAAGUUUGAAAGAUGCAAUUGCAUCACUCAAAGAUGAUCCCGCGUUGUAUUAGCUAGUUGGUGAGGUAAAGGCUCACCAAGGCGAUGAUACAUAGCCGACCUGAGAGGGUGAUCGGCCACAUUGGGACUGAGACACGGCCCAAACUCCUACGGGAGGCAGCAGUAGGGAAUCUUCGGCAAUGGACGAAAGUCUGACCGAGCAACGCCGCGUGAGUGAAGAAGGUUUUCGGAUCGUAAAACUCUGUUGGUAGAGAAGAACGUUGGUGAGAGUGGAAAGCUCAUCAAGUGACGGUAACUACCCAGAAAGGGACGGCUAACUACGUG
rnacentral:rRNA from 1 species